rnacentral:rRNA from 1 species
GAUGAACGCUGGCGGCGUGCCUAAUACAUGCAAGUCGAGCGAAUGGAUUAAGAGCUUGCUCUUAUGAAGUUAGCGGCGGACGGGUGAGUAACACGUGGGUAACCUGCCCAUAAGACUGGGAUAACUCCGGGAAACCGGGGCUAAUACCGGAUAACAUUUUGAACCGCAUGGUUCGAAAUUGAAAGGCGGCUUCGGCUGUCACUUAUGGAUGGACCCGCGUCGCAUUAGCUAGUUGGUGAGGUAACGGCUCACCAAGGCAACGAUGCGUAGCCGACCUGAGAGGGGUGUCGGCCACACUGGGACUGAGACACGGCCCAGACUCCUACGGGAGGCAGCAGUAGGGAAUCUUCCGCAAUGGACGAAAGUCUGACGGAGCAACGCCGCGUGAGUGAUGAAGGCUUUCGGGUCGUAAAACUCUGUUGUUAGGGAAGAACAAGUGCUAGUUGAAUAAGCUGGCACCUUGACGGUACCUAACCAGAAAGCCACGGCUAACUACGUGCCAGCCGCCGCGGUAA